UAGCUCAGUAGUAGAGUGCUUGCCUAACAUGCAAAAGGCCCUGGGUUCCAUCCCCAG
rnacentral:tRNA from 1 species